AAGGAGGGGGAUUGAGGGAUGAAUGGAGGAAGGGAGAAAAGGGAGAGGGAGGUGUUUAAGACAGUGGCACCUCCAGUUCUUCUGCUUCCUCUGGCAAAAGAAUCAAGAUUUCCUUGAUUUACCAUGCAGCCAGGUCUGCUGCAGAGACCCCACCUUUCACCACAUGGUAGAAAUGGAGGAAUGUUAAUGUCUGGUUUCUAUUCUGAUAGAAUUAGGAUUCCGUUUCUGUAGUGUAAGUCAUCGAGUAAGCAGAAUCCAAGGCACCCUGAAAAAAAAAAGCUUCAGGACAAACACAUAAUAACAUAUGGUCUUGCAGAGCUGUAAUUCUGGUGUUCAGGAAGCUGAGGCAGGAGGAUCACUGUGAAUUCAAGGUCUCCCCCAGCUUCAUGGACGCUGGAAGGUAAGUACCCAUCAAAAAACUAAUUUCCCACGCUGGGAGAUUUUAUCAACCACUCUAGUGCCUCAGCUCUCUUUGCCUCCACAACUCCAGAGCUGGCUUUCUUUGUGUGCUUGGCACAGCAGGGGGCAUCUGUGUGCACUGCAGAUGUUCUUACCCAUGCUCCUUUUUGGCAGGCGUCUCUGUGAUGACUAAUAUUGGCGCUGUCGUGAAGCCCAGUCAGCUCUUGCUUGCAAGCUUUUGCCAGCAGCCUCACCUUCAAGAUUCGAAAACCCACACAGUUUACAAUCCCAUCCAAGGCACCUCUGGGAAGACCUUAAAGUUUCAUUUGUUAGAAGGUGGGAAAGGGCUGGCAAGAUGGCUCAGUGAGUAAAGGUGCUUGCUGCCAAACCUGAUGACUUGAGUUCAAUUCCCUGGGUCCGCAGGAUGAAUGGAGAGAACUAACUCUUGCAAGUUGGUUCUUCUGAUUCUAAUGAGUGCUGUUAUGAGGUCAGCUGUCAGUGUUGAUGUGUCUCCCUCAACAAUCUGCACUAUGGCUUUACUCCCAUCAAGCUACCUCACUUCUUUUGUGAGUCUGUGUGAGCCCUGUUUUCAAUUCUUCGUAUAAGAAGCCUAGUAACCAGAACUACCUGACCCCAGACCCUAACCAACAAUAACAGUUCAGUGUCCUAGAAAAAUGAGGAUAGCUAAUUACUGGAAUAGCCAAGAUUCCCAAGAUUCCUGAAUGCUGUGCUGUCUAUAUUAUAUUGACAGAGGAAGAUUAUAAACUAGAAAUGAAGGCUUUGUGCUGGCACCCAAUGACUAUAACCCUUAAUGUCACAAUCUCACGUGAACCUGGGUUGGAACCCCAAACAAGACCCUGACUCAGUUGUCUUUGUAUUGUGAUGACCAAACAUGACUUGGUGAGGGAAGUUUAUUUGACUUAUACAUCCAGAUCAGAGUCUCUCAUAAAAGGAAGUUGGGGCAGGAACCUGGAUACAAGAACUGAUGCAGAGGUCACAGAGGAACCCUACCCAUUGGCUCACCCAGCCUGCUUUCUGAUACCACCCAGGACCACCUUCCCAGGAGUGACACUACUCUGCAGAGGGCUGGGCGAUCCCUCAUCAAUGAUUAAUGGAGAAAAUGCCACACAGACUUCCCAGCAGGCAAUCCAAUGCAGGCACUUUCUCAACUUUCCCUCUUCACAGAUGAUCCAAGCUUGUAUCCAGUUGACAACAAAACCCCACAAAAAUGAAACAAAAAACAAACAAACAAACAAACAAACAAAAAACAAAACAAAACAAAAAACUAACUGGCCCAACCCUGGAUUGCAAAACAGGGCCCUGAGAGAAAUUACAGAAGGCUUUUCAAUCCCUUUCUCAAACCCUGCUGUGUGAACCAUGUUGGAGGAGCUUGUUCUGAGAUGCUCCAUGCAAAUGAGAUGGGAAAGAGAAAGGACAGAACUACCUGACUCACAGGCACCAUCUGGAUGUCCUGCCUCAGCUUGCCCACAAAAGCAAUGGCAGUGGGCGAGAAGAAACCAAAGAGAACCUGUACUGUCAGGGUGACUUGGGGUGGAGCAGACGUUGCACACUGGAGCGAAUGCCACCGAGUCAGUGACGCAGAGUCUCCAGUUAUCGGUAAGCACCGCUGACAGAAGAGCUUGCAGAUACAGGCUGUGGACGCAAGCCACAGGUGAGGAGACGCUGAGAGGUUUCCUGUCAGGCUCUAGGAAGGAUCCAGGCAAACCUGGCACCACGCCUGUCAUUUAGCCUUGUUGUCCCCAAGCCAUCCAAGGGCAGGUAGCAUUCUAUCCAAGUCUCUAGGAAUAAGGGGGAUUGGGGCUGUAACUUUAAUUUCAAAUCCUAUUUUUAACAAUGGUCCUUAAAACGCUUUAACCUCCCUUGUAGCCCACCACCCACCAGAGGUACUGGUAAAGCAAGGAAGUGAACCUGUUUACAAAGUUUCCUUAGAGCAGCUCUCACCUGUGAUGUCUGGAAGUGGGGCAGUUCAGCUCACAGGUCAGCAGAGGCAACUCGAUCCACGCACAAAUGCUUCAUGGGUACAUCAGCUGUCUAGUUCAGUAGAGUCGGGAUGGCAUUCAGCAGGGGUGGCACUACGUAACGGAGACAGCCAGGCCUCAACCUUGGCAGCAGGAGGGACCAGGAGGAAUGCCAGGAGAAGUUCUAGGCUGUGUCUCUCUCAGUAAAACGAAGCUCACUGAAGACAAGAGGUCAGCAAGCAUUAUACAGUGAGCUUUCUAAGCAAGCCUAGCUGAGCCUCCACCACAGUCCCUGGGGUCCUAUUGAGACCCCCCCCAAACAUCACAAGUCCUCCAUGGGUCUUGCCUUAGCAUGUAUCUUGUCUUAGCACGUGCAUCCGUCUCAGCUGAUAUCACUCUGCCCAUCGAGGAAGCAGCAGGAAACUACAGCACACCACCAGAAGUUUUUUGGUCCAUUUCUCUCAAAUGAAGCCAGCUCAACCACACAACAUAAGGUUCUGAUGUGUCUUCCUUACUUGUAAGAAGAGCUGGUUGCUGGAUCAGAGUUCCCCUUCUCCUCUUUCCUUUCGUUUUGAAAUCACUCAGUUUCCCAGAGUCUGCCAUGUCAAAUCCAUGACUUGUAGGUCAGACAAAUGCUUGCUUUGUUCAGACACAUCCAGUCACCUUCGCCAUCCUAUGUCACCCUGUUCUACACAGGAGAUGAUUGCCAACUGCUGACUGGUUUGGAUUUGUUGAAUUUGAGUCGUGUCACCGAAAUAAGGCCAUCAGCCUCCAGUGGCCAAACUGGGCUGAGACACAGAUCAAUGCCUCAGUCAACCCACAUCAGAGAGGCUUCUCCUUGCACAAGAUUGGAAUUAACACAGAGAUUCACAACUGGAUAAUGGGUAAAGAGUAAGAGACUUAGGAGCACUCAACCCUAAAUGAGGGUCCCCACUCUCCAAAAUGCUCAAGAAUCUAUGCAGAAGGCAGAAGAGGAGGUGGAAACGCUGUAAGAGACAGAGAGGUGGUGGAUAACUCCAAGGAACCAGUGCCUUGAAUUGAUACACAUAUGAUCAGAGAUUUCAGCAGCAUACCCAAGACCUGCCCAGGUUCAACCAUAUGAUCAUGUUCCCAACCUACAUUUUAGAAGUAUCGAAAGUCCAUUUCCUUCCAGUAUGCUAAUGUCCCUCACAGGACAGACAGGCAAGUGCAUUGCCACAUUAGUAGGGGAUGUAGCUUAGACUUGACACUUUCUUUGAUGUGGAAUUUGCAUGCUCAUGGUGAGGAUAUGUGGUGAUUUGAAUAGGAGUGGCACUAUUUAGAGGCAUGAUCUUGUUGGAGUAGGUUUAGGCUUG
rnacentral:sRNA from 1 species